rnacentral:ncRNA from 1 species
AUUAAUUAUUAUUUAUCCUUAAUUUAUAUGCACAGUAAAUUGUUGAUAUCUAAUAGUUAAUAAUCCACACGUGGUAAGAGGUCAUAGUUAGGUUCACUGUGAUGUGCAACUCUUAUAAUGAGCAACCAAUCCUAAGCAAGUAGGGAGAAAUACUCUUAACCAUAAGUAGUGUUAACAUGGUGCUUGACAGUAUAAUACUAACUGACAAUAAGUAUUA